AGCAACAUACAGGCUGGCAACAGACCUUAGUCUCUGCUUUUAUUAUGUAUUAAGUAUGAGAACAUGCUAAAAUAUGUUUGCAUAAAGUCAGAUUUGCGCUUACGUGGUAUGAUCUCAAACAGGUAUUUCCCAGGGUCAUCUGAAGACAGAGGGAGUUCGUUAACUUUGCUGAAUCGCAGCUGGAUGACCCCCUGGCGUCAAGAGAAACGCGGACACACAAAGAACAAACACGAAAGCAGAGAGUGCUGCUGGUCCAGUGCCUGUGCUCCAGUGCUUCCAGUUUACUUCCCAGUUCACUGUGCAGUAUGUGCAGCCCACAUCUUCUGACUGUCGCUCUCCAUACACUGCGUCUACUGCUUUUUUUAGGUGUUGGUGGUCAGGUCAGGAAUUGGCUUUAUUACUAAAACCACAUUCGCAUUCUAUUUUCCUGUUUCACUAUGAGAUAAUUUCUUAAGAGCGACAACAUGCGCAUAUUAGUUACACCAAACCUCACUUUUCUGUCCCUUAUUGAAGUUACCACCUGCACAUGAGGAGAUGGUUAUUAUGGGUUUAUCCCACAUCAGCGUGAUACCAUGGUACGAUCUUGACUGACUGAUUAGCUGUCAGUGUAAGCAAAGUGCAUUAGAGCAGGCUGCAGAAGUUUGAUUUGCAUACAGGAAGUGUGCUGGGCUGAACUGCCGACAGAAUGAAGUGAAAUAUGAAAUAAUACAUUGCUUAAUAACUUAUGAUGACAUGAAUGCAGCACGAUGUGACAUCGCUUAAUGUUGUGGUUACAUUGCAGUUGGUGUUCAUUACUAAACGCUACAACUGUGCCAGGAAUAAUGAGCAUCAGAAUGAAAUGAAGGUUAUUCUAAUAAUGACGAUGAAUGGCUUGACCAUUAAAUGAGUUGGUCAGUAAUCAGUCUGCACCAGUGAAAGCCAGACAUGGUAUAACAGAAGGAAUCAGGCCCCGGGGUCUCACCUGGACGGUGGUCUCCUUGUCAUCCUUGUGGUAGGUCAGUGUGCUGCCUCUCAGCACAAAGUAACGUUGCUGCCAGUUCUUCACUAGGGACCUCUGUUGCUUCUUGAGCCAGCCGGCCUUCAGUGGCCGCUCCAUGGACCUGGUGGAGUGCGGCGAGCCCUGGCCGGGGCCUCGUUCUCCUGGCACCACACUUCUGGAUCGCGCUGCCCAACACAAGGCGGGUGAGUGGAACCUUAGAGAACACCAGCCGCCAGCGCGCCGUGUCACAGCCGGAGCUGCGAGACGCGACCAAAACAUCGGCGCUGCUCAACUGCAGCAGAGCACUUCCUCUUUUUGAUAUGGAUGUGCAUCAACCUAUCGAGGCUCAGAGACCCGUUCAACCUAUUUCUGCUCCCCACCUAUGCACAUCUAGGCCAAAAGGAAACUUCUGGUCUGGGCUGACCGGCUUCCUGUGGAAGGUGCAUGAAAGCAGCUGUGAUUACCGUUCGUAAGUAACAGAAUGGGCUCGGAGAUGAAGUCGUGUGUGGUUGUAAGUUAAAAUGAAAGUAGCGCAAAUAAAUCUUCAUACAACUGUC